rnacentral:rRNA from 1 species
UUAAGCGACUAAGCGUACACGGUGGAUGCCCUGGCAGUCAGAGGCGAUGAAGGACGUGCUAAUCUGCGAAAAGCGUCGGUAAGGUGAUAUGAACCGUUAUAACCGGCGAUGUCCGAAUGGGGAAACCCAGUGCAAUUCGUUGCACUAUCGUUAACUGAAUACAUAGGUUAACGAGGCGAACCGGGGGAACUGAAACAUCUAAGUACCCCGAGGAAAAGAAAUCAACCGAGAUUCCCCCAGUAGCGGCGAGCGAACGGGGAGCAGCCCAGAGUCUGAAUCAGCUUGUGUGUUAGUGGAACGGUCUGGAAAGUCCGACGGUACAGGGUGAUAGUCCCGUACACCAAAAUGCACAGGUUGUGAACUCGAAGAGUAGGGCGGGACACGUGGUAUCCUGUCUGAAUAUGGGGGGACCAUCCUCCAAGGCUAAAUACUCCUGACUGACCGAUAGUGAACCAGUACCGUGAGGGAAAGGCGAAAAGAACCCCGGCGAGGGGAGUGAAAAAGAACCUGAAACCGUGUACGUACAAGCAGUGGGAGCACCUUUAUGGUGUGACUGCGUACCUUUUGUAUAAUGGGUCAGCGACUUAUAUUCUGUAGCAAGGUUAACCGUAUAGGGGAGCCGCAGGGAAACCGAGUCUUAACUGGGCGUUAAGUUGCAGGGUAUAGACCCGAAACCCGGUGAUCUAGCCAUGGGCAGGUUGAAGGUUGGGUAACACUAACUGGAGGACCGAACCGACUAAUGUUGAAAAAUUAGCGGAUGACUUGUGGCUGGGGGUGAAAGGCCAAUCAAACCGGGAGAUAGCUGGUUCUCCCCGAAAGCUAUUUAGGUAGCGCCUCGUGAACUCAUCUUCGGGGGUAGAGCACUGUUUCGGCUAGGGGGUCAUCCCGACUUACCAACCCGAUGCAAACUACGAAUACCGAAGAAUGUUAUCACGGGAGACACACGGCGGGUGCUAACGUCCGUCGUGAAGAGGGAAACAACCCAGACCGCCAGCUAAGGUCCCAAAGUCAUGGUUAAGUGGGAAACGAUGUGGGAAGGCACAGACAGCCAGGAUGUUGGCUUAGAAGCAGCCAUCAUUUAAAGAAAGCGUAAUAGCUCACUGGUCGAGUCGGCCUGCGCGGAAGAUGUAACGGGGCUAAACCAUGCACCGAAGCUGCGGCAGCGACGCUUAUGCGUUGUUGGGUAGGGGAGCGUUCUGUAAGCCUGCGAAGGUGGCCUGUGAGGGCUGCUGGAGGUAUCAGAAGUGCGAAUGCUGACAUAAGUAACGAUAAAGCGGGUGAAAAGCCCGCUCGCCGGAAGACCAAGGGUUCCUGUCCAACGUUAAUCGGGGCAGGGUGAGUCGACCCCUAAGGCGAGGCCGAAAGGCGUAGUCGAUGGGAAACAGGUUAAUAUUCCUGUACUUGGUGUUACUGCGAAGGGGGGACGGAGAAGGCUAUGUUAGCCGGGCGACGGUUGUCCCGGUUUAAGCAUGUAGGCGGAGGUUCCAGGUAAAUCCGGUACCUUUUAACGCUGAGGUGUGAUGACGAGGCACUACGGUGCUGAAGUAACAAAUGCCCUGCUUCCAGGAAAAGCCUCUAAGCAUCAGGUAACAUUAAAUCGUACCCCAAACCGACACAGGUGGUCAGGUAGAGAAUACCAAGGCGCUUGAGAGAACUCGGGUGAAGGAACUAGGCAAAAUGGUGCCGUAACUUCGGGAGAAGGCACGCUGGUGUGUAGGUGAAGUCCCUGCGGACGGAGCUGAGACCAGUCGAAGAUACCAGCUGGCUGCAACUGUUUAUUAAAAACACAGCACUGUGCAAACACGAAAGUGGACGUAUACGGUGUGACGCCUGCCCGGUGCCGGAAGGUUAAUUGAUGGGGUUAUCCGUAAGGAGAAGCUCUUGAUCGAAGCCCCGGUAAACGGCGGCCGUAACUAUAACGGUCCUAAGGUAGCGAAAUUCCUUGUCGGGUAAGUUCCGACCUGCACGAAUGGCGUAAUGAUGGCCAGGCUGUCUCCACCCGAGACUCAGUGAAAUUGAACUCGCUGUGAAGAUGCAGUGUACCCGCGGCAAGACGGAAAGACCCCGUGAACCUUUACUAUAGCUUGACACUGAACAUUGAGCCUUGAUGUGUAGGAUAGGUGGGAGGCUUUGAAGCGUGGACGCCAGUCUGCGUGGAGCCAACCUUGAAAUACCACCCUUUAAUGUUUGAUGUUCUAACGUUGGCCCCUAAUCGGGGUUGCGGACAGUGUCUGGUGGGUAGUUUGACUGGGGCGGUCUCCUCCCAAAGAGUAACGGAGGAGCACGAAGGUUAGCUAAUCCUGGUCGGACAUCAGGAGGUUAGUGCAAUGGCAUAAGCUAGCUUGACUGCGAGCGUGACGGCGCGAGCAGGUGCGAAAGCAGGUCAUAGUGAUCCGGUGGUUCUGAAUGGAAGGGCCAUCGCUCAACGGAUAAAAGGUACUCCGGGGAUAACAGGCUGAUACCGCCCAAGAGUUCAUAUCGACGGCGGUGUUUGGCACCUCGAUGUCGGCUCAUCACAUCCUGGGGCUGAAGUAGGUCCCAAGGGUAUGGCUGUUCGCCAUUUAAAGUGGUACGCGAGCUGGGUUUAGAACGUCGUGAGACAGUUCGGUCCCUAUCUGCCGUGGGCGCUGGAGAAUUGAGGGGGGCUGCUCCUAGUACGAGAGGACCGGAGUGGACGCAUCACUGGUGUUCGGGUUGUCAUGCCAAUGGCACUGCCCGGUAGCUAAAUGCGGAAGAGAUAAGUGCUGAAAGCAUCUAAGCACGAAACUUGCCCCGAGAUGAGUUCUCCCUGAGACUAUAAGUCUCCUGAAGGAACGUUGAAGACGACGACGUUGAUAGGCCGGGUGUGUAAGCGCAGCGAUGCGUUGAGCUAACCGGUACUAAUGAACCGUGAGGCUUAACCUU